rnacentral:rRNA from 1 species
GACUACCAGGGUAUCUAAUCCUGUUUGAUACCCACACCUUCGCAGUUUAGCGUCAAUUACGGCUUAGAAGACUGCCUUCGCCUUUGGUAUUCCUCCUGAUCUCUGCGCAUUCCACCGCUACACCAGGAAUUCUGUCUUCCCCAACCGCAUUCCAGAUACACAGUAUCUAAUGCCGUACAGCGGGUGAGCCGCUGCCUUUAACAUCAAACUUAUGUAUCCGCCUACCUGCCCUUUACGCCUAGUAAUUCCGGACAACGCUUGCAACCCCCGUGUUACCGCGGCUGCUGGCACGGAGUUAGCCGUUGCUUAUUCAUAUGCUAAUAUCUCUCCCUAUAUGCUAUUCACAUAUAAAGCAUUGCUCACAUAUAAAAGAACUUUACACCCCGAAGGGCUUCUUCGUUCACGCGGCGUCGCACUAUCAGACUUUCGUCCAUUGUAGACUAUUCUCGACUGCAGCCACCCGUAGG